CCUACGGGAGGCAGCAGUGAGGAAUAUUGGUCAAUGGACGAGAGUCUGAACCAGCCAAGUAGCGUGAAGGAUGACUGCCCUAUGGGUUGUAAACUUCUUUUAUAUGGGAAUAAAAUGUUCCACGUGUGGGAUUUUGUAUGUACCAUAUGAAUAAGGAUCGGCUAACUCCGUGCCAGCAGCCGCGGUAAUACGGAGGGUCCGAGCGUUAUCCGGAUUUAUUGGGUUUAAAGGGAGCGUAGGUGGAUGGUUAAGUCAGUUGUGAAAGUUUGCGGCUCAACCGUAAAAUUGCAGUUGAAACUGGCAGGCUUGAGUACAGUAGAGGUGGGCGGAAUUCGUGGUGUAGCGGUGAAAUGCUUAGAUAUCACGAAGAACUCCGAUUGCGAAGGCAGCUCACUGGACUGCAACUGACACUGAGGCUCGAAAGUGUGGGUAUCAAACAGGAUUAGAUACCCCUGUAGUC
rnacentral:rRNA from 1 species